rnacentral:rRNA from 1 species
UAAUACCGGAUGGUUGUUUGAACCGCAUGUUCAAACAUAAUAGGUGGCUUCGGCUACCACUUACAGAAGGACCCGCGCCGCAUUAGCUAGUUGGUGAGGUAAGGCUCACCAAGGCAACGAUGGUAGCCGACCUGAGAGGGUGAUCGGCCACACUGGGACUGAGACACGGCCCAGACUCCUACGGGAGGCAGCAGUAGGGAAUCUUCCGCAAUGGACGAAAGUCUGACGGAGCAACGCCGCGUGAGUGAUGAAGGUUUUCGGAUCGUAAAGCUCUGUUGUUAGGGAAGAACAAGUACCGUUCGAAUAGGGCGGUACCUUGACGGUACCUAACCAGAAAGCCACGGCUAACUACGUGCCAGCAGCCGCGGUAAUACGUAGGUGGCAAGCGUUGUCCGGAAUUAUUGGGCGUAAAGGGCUCGCAGGCGGUUUCUUAAGUCUGAUGUGUAAGCCCCGGCUCAACCGGGGAGGGUCAUUGGAAACUGGGGAACUUGAGUGCAGAAGAGGAGAGUGGAAUUCCACGUGUAGCGGUGAAAUGCGUAGAGAUGUGGAGGAACACCAGUGGCGAAGGCGACUCUCUGGUCUGUAACUGACGCUGAGCAGCGAAAGCGUGGGAGCGAACAGGAUUAGAUACCCUGGUAGUCCACGCCGUAAACGAUGAGUGCUAAGUGUUAGGGGGUUUCCGCCCCUUAGUGCUGCAGCUAACGCAUUAAGCACUCCGCCUGGGGGAGUACGGUCGCAAGACUGAAACUCAAGGAAUUGACGGGGGGCCGCACAAGCGGUGGGAGCAUGUGGUAUUAUUCGAAGCAACGCCG